UAGAGUUUGAUCAUGGCUCAGAUUGAACGCUGGCGGCAGGCCUAACACAUGCAAGUCGAGCGGAAACGAUGGAAGCUUGCUUCCAGGCGUCGAGCGGCGGACGGGUGAGUAAUGCAUGGGAAUCUGCCCGAUAGUGGGGGAUAACCUGGGGAAACCCAGGCUAAUACCGCAUACGUCCUACGGGAGAAAGCAGGGGAUCUUCGGACCUUGCGCUAUCGGAUGAGCCCAUGUCGGAUUAGCUUGUUGGUGAGGUAAUGGCUCACCAAGGCGACGAUCCGUAGCUGGUCUGAGAGGAUGAUCAGCCACAUCGGGACUGAGACACGGCCCGAACUCCUACGGGAGGCAGCAGUGGGGAAUAUUGGACAAUGGGCGAAAGCCUGAUCCAGCCAUGCCGCGUGUGUGAAGAAGGCCCUCGGGUUGUAAAGCACUUUCAGUGGGGAAGAAAGCCUUGGGAUUAAUACUCCCGAGGAAGGACAUCACCCACAGAAGAG
rnacentral:rRNA from 1 species